rnacentral:rRNA from 1 species
AUUGAACGCUGGCGGCAUGCUUUACACAUGCAAGUCGAACGGUAACAGGCCUUCGGGUGCUGACGAGUGGCGAACGGGUGAGUAAUGCAUCGGAACGUGCCCAGAGGUGGGUGAUAACGCAGCGAAAGCUGUGCUAAUACCUCAUGUGAUCUGAGGAUUAAAGCGGGGGACCAGGCAGCAAUGUUUGGCCUCGCGCCUUUGUAGCGGCCGAUGUCAGAUUAGGUAGUUGGUGGGGUAAAGGCCUACCAAGCCGACGAUCUGUAGCUGGUCUGAGAGGACGACCAGCCACACUGGGACUGAGACACGGCCCAGACUCCUACGGGAGGAAGCAGUGGGGAAUUUUGGACAAUGGGCGCAAGCCUGAUCCAGCAAUGCCGCGUGCGGGAAGAAGGCCUUCGGGUUGUAAAACGCUUUUGUACGGAACGAAAAGGCUCUGGCUAAUACAUGGGGCUGAUGGCGGUACCGUAAGAAUAAGCACCGGCUAACUACGUG